ACUACCGCACAUCCUUGCUGUUAAGAGACGAUGCUGGCAGACGGCGCCCUUGUCACAAUUUUUUUUUUUAAGGGGAAGAUGCAUAGACCAGAGUGAUAGCAGUCGCUGUCAUCUAUGCAAAAUAAGGAGGGGAUUAUACCUUGAAGAGUCAAGAUGAACUCUAACUUAUGGGAUGGACAAAAUGGAAGAUGUAAGUAAGUAAGCUUUCAGAGCUAAAAAGCCUCUUUUUAUACAAAAUUAAACUUUAAAAAAACAUUGACCUCAAAACAAUAUAACUGUCUUGGAUAUGUUAUAAAAAUAGCAGUAUAAAUAGCACCAUACCCACAGUGAACAUAUGUAGUUACCCAACCUGUCCAACUUCAUUAAUUAUAGGCCUUACUCUGAACGCUUCUUGUUCUGUCUUUGUACUCCCACCAGCAAAGGAGUUCUUUCCAACUUUAUUUCUUAAGAAAUAUUUUUUCUUUUAACAUUACAAUGCUAAUUUUAUAAACUAUACAAUUUUAUAAACUAUAACUCUCCCCAUAUCUGCAGCGCUAAUAAAAUUUGUGGAGGGAGAGAAUGCCUUUCUCUCCUUUUCUAAAAAUCACUGACUAGUCCUUGAGUCUAUGAGUGACAACACCCUACUCAGUUCCUAAAACUAAAAAGCUUGCUUACCUCCAAAGUAGAUAAAAAAUGUGUUGAAUUGGUAGCUGUCAAGAAUACACUCUAACCAGAACUGUGAGAAGGGUAAUGCAUAAUAUUAAAUAAACCAUAUACAAAAAUAGUUUAUUAUGUUAACUAUUGUUAUGAGAGUUUAUUCGGUAAAAUUCUAAGUUAUGCUCCUGUAAUGUAUAUGUUGACCAAUGAAAGGCAGUAACAAAACAAUGUCAUCAAUUACUAAGUUUAUACAUACAUAAAAAAUUUUUACCUCUGGUAUAAUUCUAUGUGUGGCAAUACCACCUACCUAGAUUGUGGUAUGUGUUUGAAAAUAAAAGUUAAAUUUCCUUUUAAAUACUCUAUAUAUUUUGAAAGGGAUUAUCUCCAAUUUGUUUUACUUGGUUUUGGUGUUUAUAUUUACUGGUAUGCUUUAUAAGUAACCCCUCAAGUUUCAAAUGAGUAUUCUCUGGCUUCCCAGGUUGAAAAGACCAUCUCUCCUGUUUAAAUUGGCUUUCAGUUAAAAUUUUGGUUUCAGAAUCCUUACAGAAAAUUCUAACAGAGGACUGAAAAGUUACCUCCUUACAUAAGUGGCAGUGUGCUAAAACCCAGAAGUAUAGGUCAUAGUUUCUCCUGGCAGCAACUUCUGUUACCCUGGGAAAAGCAUGGUGCUAGGAUUUGUCCGUAAAGUCAAGUUCAUAUGAUGAAAUUAGCAGUGAUUUGUAGUUAAGAUUUGUGUCUUAUGUGUCCAUUUACCAGUAACUGUAAGUUGAAGGGUAAUGAUAAUAGCAAAUAUAUGAUGUCUUAGGACAGUGUUCUGGUUAUGUUUUGACUGCAAUCCAGAGUAAGCAAUACAUUUUACUCUCAAGACUAAGUAUAUACACGUGUACAUAUAAAAGUUUCAAAAGACAGUGUUUUCUUUAGUGUGUUCCAUGCACUCUGAUAUUUUCUGUUUAAUAUUAAAGUAAUGCUGGUCAUGACCCAUUUAUUUUAAGACCCACUAAUUGGUCAAUCCCCAUAUUUUGGAAACCGCUACUCUAGGAGAACAUGAGAUAUUUUAUAAACUAUAAAGCACGCCAAGAUGUGAGCAGCUGCUAAUAUUCAGGACAAAACUUUCAUGGGCCUGAGACAUCCUCUCCUUCCUUGGGUACUGCUACGAGUCCCAUUCACCUAGGCUUUUGGUAAGAAAGACAAUACUCCAGCUGUCAUUGAGACAACCCUGUAAUACUCCGAUCAGAAAGCAAUGUAUUAAUCAAAUCAGAACCCAAAGAAAAGACAACAAGCUAGAGGAAAAUCAAAAAAAGCAGACAUUUGUUCAGUGCUUUAUGGUUUAUAAAAUACUUUCACAUACAUGAUCUCUUAAUCUUAAGCCUAGGGAAAAAUAAACUAAGAGGUAGAGACCUGCCCAAGAUUAGACAGUAAGUGGCAGAGUCAGGUCAUCUGAUCCUAAAUCCCUCACUCCUUUUACUGUGAUAAAAUACCAGGAAAGGAGAGUGAUCAGGGCAUGAAGCUUCUUCUGAUCCAUUAAAAAGAUGUAAAAACAUUUUUAUAUCCUCUGCCUCCCACUGUAGGGAAACUGUUUUCCCUAUAUCCAUUGUUACGGAGGAUGAGGAAGCAACCUCAGACUUUGGGAAGGGGUGUGGCCAGUUCCACUUAAUUAGACCAGGCAUUUCAGUCUACCAAUACCAGUUAUGUUUUUUCUGUAUGUGUGUUUCUUCUCCAGUCAUCUGUUUUGACAUUGUGCUCUGAGGUCCCAAAUGUCUAUUAUCUACAAGCUUUCUGUUCCUGUGUGUUAAGGGUCCUGGAGUCUUAGGUACAGACUCAAGACUCAACAGAGGGAAAUCAAGAACUAGGGAUAUGUCACCUAUACUGAGAUUGAAAGGGAAUAACAGUAGUAUGUUUCUGGUGACUGUUGUGUCUUUGCUCAGCUUCCCCAGGGGAAGCCAAUCAGCCUCAACCAAUUUGCCAAUGCCCAUCUUCACUACUGUGCCCUCAUCUCUCACAGAAAAGAGGUUCAACUAGCAAGUACCCAUCUCUCCCAGUUCCCCUUGUUUUCUCUCCACUCCCUUCAAGCCCUCACCCCCUUUCCCUCCUUGUGCCUCUCACCUUAUACUGCACCACCUCCUCCAGCGGCACCACGCUGUGCUGUUUGUGGCUCCUGGAUUCUCGGCACACCACACAGAUGGCCUCUUUGUCCACCUCGCAGAAGAGCUUCAGGGCUUCCUGGUGUUUGGAGCAGAUACCCUGAUCAUUCCCCCAGCUUCCUCGAUAAGGAGUGGGGCACAUCUGGCGAAUUAUCUGGACCAUGUUGGCUAGCUGCAGGUUGGGACGAAAGUUGCGACGGGUAAAGCUCUUUCGGCACUGGGGGCAGGUGAACUGACGUGGAGGGGCCGGAGGAUGCAGGUGGGAUGUAUCAGGAUGCAGCUCUUGGUCGUCCUCGUCGUAUUCUUCCAGUAUCUCCUCUUCUGGGUAGACGUCAAUUCUCAGGUCAUGCCUCAAGCCUCCCAGGUAAUAGUCCCGGUCUUCCUCCUCCUCUUCCUCCUGGUCCCACACAUAGUCCAUGUUGUCCCUGACGCCGCCGUCACCAACCCAGAGUUCAUAAUCUUCUUGGUCCUGGAACACCUCCUCAUCGGCAUUGCCCUGGUACAAAACCUCUCGAAUGGAGGUGUCCCAUCCACCGAUGGCCCCCUCCACGUCGUCGUCCUCGUCCUCCUCCCAUUCAUCUAUCUCCACUUCCCUGUUUUCCUCAUCAUCCUUGCCCCACAGCUGGGUCACACACCCGCGGCAGAAGUUGUGCCCGCAGCCUAUGGAUACGGGAUCCUUGAAGUAAUCCAGGCAGAUGGCACACACCGCUUCCUCCUGAAGGGUCUGCACGGGGUUAGGAGUAGUGGCAUAGCCAGCCAUUUUAGUGUGCAGCCUGUGGGUGUGGACGCCUCGGCUCGGAGCUGAGGAGCUGGGGGACUGCUUGCGGGCCUGCCCCCAAGCUACGCUUGUGACCCCAGGCUGUUCUCAACUCUGCUUUUCCUCCUCAGGCCUGAAAAGAUGCCUGGCUCCCCUCCCGCAGGGUUUUCCCAGCUCAAGGAACGAAAGCCCUCCGUCCAGGAUGCAGCCUCCACUUCCCUUUGAGGCUCAGAAUGUACAACCAGAUCCUGACACGUUUCUCGCUUCCCUCCGGGUUUGCCCGACCCAGCGGCGUCCUCCUCAGGCGUCGACACUCCUCACCCAGCCCGAGGCGACAGAGAAUGACGUAGGCGCUUUAACCCCCACUCGGGAAGGGGUAGACUGAGCCGACGGAGGACCACAUUCUCUAUGAUGCUGCAGGGGACGCCACAGCUGGGAGCGUGGCCGGCCGUGUAGCCGGCCUGAAGAAAAAAAGACUGGUUAGAAGAGGCAGAGGUGGGAAGAGAAUCUAUUUACUCCCCCGAGUCGCGUUAGCGCCGCUUCAAUUAGGAUAGAAAAGGCCCGGCAGUCUCUCAGCCGAACCAAUACCCAGGAACCGACCGGAAGUAGGCGGAGUGCGGCGGCCAAGCUCGCAUUCUCGUGCACUUCCGGCCCUUCUAGCCAGAGAUCUUGGUGGUAGUAAAAACGCCCUCCUCUCGGAGGUCGCGGCCUGCCGAAUCGCGGCGGGGUGGGGCUUGCUGCGGCGUGCAGUUACUGUGAGGUUAGGGGGACUCGCGUGGGGGCUCGCGUGCCUCCCUUUUCUCAAAACUAGUUAACCCUUUUAUUGCUGCCUGAGGAGCCUCGGCCUCCUAGCCGGUUUUCUCCCGCUACUUUUACUCUGUGACCACUCACUGACUGACUCUGUAGACGGUUUCGCCUUCAUCGAUAAUGCUGCUCUUCACCGUCCACUCGCCAUCUACCUACGCUUGCGUGAAUCCGUUCAUCCAUCCAGUUGGCUGCCCAUUUAUUUCAUUUCAUUUUUAAAAAAGAUUCUAUUUAUUUGUUUGACAGAUCACAAGAAGGCAGAGGGGCAGGCAGAGGGAGAGGGGUAAGCAGGCUCCCUGCUGAGCAGAGCCCGAUGAGGGGAUCAAUCCGAGGACCCUGAGAUCAAGACCUGAGACGAGGCUUAACCCACUGAGCCACCCAGGCGCCCCUGCCCAUUCAUUUUAAUCCCGUUCAUCAUACACAUGCAUAACCCAUCCAUUUACCAUAUACUUUAUAGGAACAAAAACGUGAGCAGGGCAUGAUCAAUCCCUUCAAGGAGUUCAGGUAUAAGCAUGUGGUUAUCUGUAACCCAGGGUUUCACAAGGUCUGUUUUUACUUGACCCUCACUAAGAAAUGCACUGCACACGUUAAUCCAAUACAGACUUGCACAUGUAUAACAGAAACAGAAUUUCUGGAAAUUGUCCUUUCCCUUACGCAUUCAAUGCACCCUGAUAUGUUCUAUUUUGCUUAAGUAAAAUGUUGUUCAAGA